rnacentral:SRP_RNA from 17 species
GCCGGGCGCGGUGGCGCACGCCUGUAGUCCCAGCUACUCGGGAGGCUGAGACAGGAGGAUCGCUUGAGUCCAGGAGUUCUGGGCUGUAGUGCGCUAUGCCGAUCGGGUGUCCGCACUAAGUUCGGCAUCAAUAUGGUGACCUCCCGGGAGCGGGGGACCACCAGGUUGCCUAAGGAGGGGUGAACCGGCCCAGGUCGGAAACGGAGCAGGUCAAAACUCCCGUGCUGAUCAGUAGUGGGAUCGCGCCUGUGAAUAGCCACUGCACUCCAGCCUGGGCAACAUAGCGAGACCCCGUCUCUUU